GAGAGCGUUAGGGUAGCUGGAAUUUCUAGUGUAGGAGUGAAAUCCGUAGAUAUUAGAAAGAACACCGAUAGGUAGGCAGGCUACUGGGACGUUUCUGACACUAAGGCACGAAAGCGUGGGGAGCAAACGGGUUAGAUACCCCGGUAGUCCACGCCGUAAACGAUGGAUACUAGCAGUUUCGGGUAUCGACCCUGGAGUUGCGAAGCUAACGCGUUAAGUAUCCCACCUGUGUAGUACGAUCGCAAGAUUAAACAUAAAGGAAUUGACGGGGACCCGCACAAGCGGUGGAGCGUGAUCUUUAAUUCGAUGGUAACGAUAAACCUUACCAAGGCUUGACAUCUCGGGAAGGCUUCCGAAAGGAAUCUGUGCCCCGGGAACCCGAAGACAGGUGAUGCAUGGCCGUCGUCAGCUCGUGUCGUGAGAUGUUUGGUAAGUCCAUCAACGAGCGCAACCCUUGCAACCAGUUGUAUUUUUCUGGUAGGACUGCCCCGUAACGGGGAGGAAGGAGGGGAUGAUGUCAGGUCAGUAUUUCCCUUACGCCUUGGGCUAGAUCGCGCUACAAUGGCCGGUACAAUGCGAAGCGAAGCAGUGAUGUGAAGCAAACCGCACCAAGCCGGUCCCAGUUCGGAUAGAAGGCUGAAACUCGCCUUCUUGAAGUCGGAAUCGCUAGUAUCGCAGAUCAGCAUGUUGCGGUGAAUACGUUCCCGGGUCUUGUACACACCGCCCGUAA
rnacentral:rRNA from 1 species